GCCCACAUAGCUCAGCAGGUAGAGCACUUCGUUGGUAACGAAGAGGUCAGCAGUUCAAGUCUGCUUGUGGGCACCA
rnacentral:tRNA from 3 species